AGCUGCAAUUCCAACCCCAUCAUGGUGAGACGGCCUUUUCAAAGAACUUUACAACAAGAACACAACAGGCUCAAUCUGAUCAGCAGGUUUCGUAUGACAUGAAUUUCCCGCAGGAUGGGCAGUUUAUCAAAGGACAGAAAAUCACCUUAAUACCACGUUCAACCAACACAAGAGCUCAGAGACCCAGAAUAAUUGCAAAAAUGUAUUCCAAGCGUAUACCAGCCCAUGGAAGAAAGAAAACCACUGAUUCCCCCAAGACAAACUAACCUUUGCUUUCUGGACCCAUUACACGUAAUUCUAAAUUAAUAAACAAAUAAAUGAAUGAAUAAAU